rnacentral:rRNA from 1 species
GACGAACGCUGGCGGCGUGCUUAACACAUGCAAGUCGAACGGAAAGGCCCUGCUUGUGUGGGGUGCUCGAGUGGCGAACGGGUGAGUAACACGUGAGUAACCUGCGCUUGACUUUGGGAUAACUUCAGGAAACUGGGGCUAAUACCGGAUAGGAGCUCCUGCUGCAUGGUGGGGGUUGGAAAGUUUCGGCGGGUGUGGCUGGACUCGCGGCUUACCAGCUUGUUGGUGGGGUAGUGGCUUACCAAGGCUUUGACGGGUAGCCGGCCUGAGAGGGUGACCGGCCACCUGGGGCCUGCGGUAGGCCCCAGACUGCUACGUGAGGCAGCGGUGGGGAAUAUUGCACAGUGGGCGGGCGCCUGAUGCGGCGGCGCUGCGUUCGGGAUGACGGCCUUCGGGUUGUAAACCGCUUUCGCCUGUGACGAAGCGUGAGUGACGGUAAUGGGUAAAGAAGCACCGGCUAACUACGUG